GAUUGGUUACCUUGUUACGACUUCACCCCAGUCACGAACCCUGCCGUGGUAAUCGCCCUCCUUGCGGUUAGGCUAACUACUUCUGGCAGAACCCGCUUCCCAUGGUGUGACGGGCGGUGUGUACAAGACCCGGGAACGUAUUCACCGCGACUAUCUGAUCCGCGAUUACUAGCGAUUCCGACUUCACGCAGUCGAGUUGCAGACUGCGAUCCGGACUACGACUGGUUUUAUGGGAUUAGCUCCCCCUCGCGGGUUGGCAACCCUCCGUACCAGCCAUUGUAUGACGUGUGUAGCCCCACCUAUAAGGGCCAUGAGGACUUGACGUCAUCCCCACCUUCCUCCGGUUUGUCACCGGCAGUCUCAUUAGAGUGCCCUUUCGUAGCAACUAAUGACUAGGGUUGCGCUCGUUGCGGGACUUAACCCAACAUCUCACGACACGAGCUGACGACAGCCAUGCAGCACCUGUGUUACGGCUCUCUUUCGAGCACGAAGCCAUCUCUGGCAACUUCCG
rnacentral:rRNA from 1 species